CAUCAUUAAAUGAAAGCAGCCCACAGGACAGCUGUAGUCUUCAAGGCUUCCAUGUUGCUUAGCAAAAAAAAAAAAAAAUGUGUUUUCUUACUUGUCCUCUCCCUCCUCCCACUUCUACUAAGGGAGCAAGAUGCCCAAACUCUUCUGUCCUGUCUCCUUUCCUCAGCAGUAGAGAUGGCUUCUGAUCAGAGCUCCCUGUUGCUCAAGCUCUUUUAUUGUCAUGUCUCAUUAGGUUCUCCCUCAUCCCUUUGGAGUUUGGGUUGUCAUUCCCACCUUUGUGAAGGUGCAGAAGUGGAAUGCACAGAUGUGAAGAGAUCACCCAGAGAUGCCACUACAGAAUGCCAUGGAUCCAGCACACGGAGGAUAUCUAAUCUACACUCUUGGUUUCACACGUGCUAAGAUUCCAAAGGUCAAUUCGAUCAGAGGCAGCAGCAGAAACAACCAGGAACCAACCGACACACCAAAUAGUACCUAGUUCCAUGUUUGUGGCAAGGAAGAAUCUGCUCUAGACCUUCAGGUACAGAAACCAUCAUUGUGUUUUCUCUUUGUACAUUGAACUAAAUCAGACUCGUGGAGAUAUGUAUCCUUAGUCACUGCUGGAGUUCCUUGUUUCUGUCUAGGAAUUCCUACAAGCACCCCAACCUUGCUGGGGUUGUUCUCUUGCUGAGGCAAGAGAACUUGCCUCUUCUCAGCUGCCUCCACUGUUCACACUGCUCUUUGCCUCCACCAUCCAGGGCUUAGAAGUGUCCAGCAGGAGCAUCACAGUCAAUGCCUAGUGCACCACUGCCUGAGAAGCUGCAUUUCUCAGAGAUUUGACUCUCUGGGAAUAUUGCAGCUAAAUGCAAUGUGAAUCUCUGCUCUUUCAGAAGCCUCCAAACUCCUGGGGGAAAGCUAACCCAUCCCCCCUCAAUUACCCACCUCCUUCUCUCCUGCCCCCCUCCAUCCCUGCCUGGUCUACUGGACCUGGAUUUCUCAAAUAAGACAUGGUACCGAUUGAUUUCAGGGUACCUGGAAACUUCAGUUUGAGACACCAACUGCAAAAGGCUUUCAAGACCCCAGAACAUGGAACGUCAGGAUUUGUUCUGUGUAAGAGAGGAGAGUUGGGGAAAAGUGGUGAAUGGUGAAGCCCAGGACUUACACUUUCAUUCCACAAAAUAUCUCAUGAGAGAAAAUUGGACUAAAGUAUAGGGCUAUAUGUGCUCAAAAACAUUUGUAAAAUAAAAGAAAAGUUUAAAGAAUAAAAGAAAAAUCU
rnacentral:lncRNA from 12 species